rnacentral:tRNA from 4 species
AGUAAAGUCAGCUAAUUAAGCUCUC